ensembl:lncRNA
AAAAUUCUCUCUUGCCCAUAUUUAGUCUCGACCACAUUUCGGAAAAUAUAAAAAGUAUUUUAGAGGUUGCUAAGCUGAUGGGGUGGCCGUACCUGCGGGUUUUCGGACUGCCUCCGAGGUCCGAACACAUUACAAAAGGUCCGAACAAAUCCGAACGAGGUCCUAACAUGCUCCUAACCAGGUCCGAACAUAUUCCUUCAGAGAUCAAAGAGUUUCGAAUGAGAUCCGAACACAGUUCCGAACAGUAUAGGUCACGUGACGCGGGAGGGGCGGGAAUAUACGAUGAACAUCGCGUUAGAGUCGCAGCCAUUUUUUCCACCGCUUGCGGGAGAUAAAACAUCGGUAGAAAGGUAAUAACGUAUUUAUUUGUCGUAUAAACGAAAUAGUUGUGCCAAGUUUCAUCCCCUCCGGUAAUGGAGUCUUGUUAUGUGCUUGAACAGCGCAAACAGGUGUAUGAAACAAGUUUAAUUGUGCCAAGUUUAAUUAUUAACAAUAAUGAUCCUUGCCAAGUUUCAUCCCCUCCGGUAAUGGAGUCUUGUUAUGUGCUUGAACAGCGCAAACAGGUGUAUGAAACAAGUUUAAUUGUGCCAAGUUUAAUUAUUAACAAUAAUGAUCCUUUAGUUUGCCUGCUUUUAUUUUGUGAAGCACUUUGUGCUACAAUGUCUUCGUAUGAAAAUAUUGAUUGAUUGAAUAAUACAAAUAAUGAUGAUAACAUUAAUAUUAUUAGAACUUUAUUUGUAUAGUAAUAAAACAGUAAUGCAAAACAUACCUACCCACCUACAAACAUACAUAUAUAAAUACAUACACAUGUAUCAUUUCUACCAAUCUGUCUGUCUGUACACACACAUAGCCUAGCUCGACAUUAACCUGUUUUACAUUUGAUGUUUGCAGAUGAAGGAAGCAAAGCCUGAUUCCUAUUGGAGGGAUGUAUGCCUCAAGUAUGCUCGGGGCCAAUUCCAUUUUACCACAGGCAAACGGCCAGGGGCCAAAAAAUGGAAAAAGGCCUUAGAAAAAAUAGAUGCUUGCCCGCUGCAGAAGCAAAUUAACACCAAGGAUCUGUUUGGGAGAAGCCUUAAGUGCUCCUGUGGGUUCCACAAGCCAGCAGAUCUGUCAUCAGGCGCUGCUGGGUCUAGUGAGGCAGGAGGAGUUAAGACGGACGAGGCAGGGAGCACGGACGUAGGGAGAGGAGAGACAGAGGCAGCGAGAGGAGGCACAGAGGCAGCGAGAGGAGGCACAGAGGCAGCGAGAGGAGGAGAGACAGAGGCAGCGAGAGGAGGAGAGACAGAGGCAGCGAGAGGAGGAGAGACAGAGGCAGCGAGAGGAGGAGAGACAGAGGCAGCGAGAGGAGGAGACACAGAGGCAGCGAGAGGAGGAGAGACAGAGGCAGCGAGAGGAGGAGACACAGAGGCAGCGAGAGGAGGAGACACAGAGGCAGGGGCAGUCAACGCAGAGGCAGGGAGAGGAGACGCAGAAGCAGGAGAGGGAGUGCAGUGCUGCCUGUGCAACCUGCAUGUGGAGGGAGACCGGUUCACCCAGCACCUGUCGGACCACCACACGGAGGAGCAGUGUGAUACCUGUGGGGCCAAGGUGCAGGGUGCUGUUGGUCUUUUGAACCACAUCGAAGUGGUUCACUAUGCCUUCAGGGUACCAUCAAAGCCGUCUCUGCCCCCUUCUUCAUCCUGCUCUGCCGCGCCACACCACACGGCAGCUCCACCACCUGCAGCACACUUCAGGGUACCAUCAAAGCCGUCUCUGCCCCCUUCUUCACCCUGCUCUGCCGCGCCACACCACACGGCAGCUCCACCACCUGCAGCACACUUCAGGGUACCAUCAGAGCCGUCUCUGCCCCCUUCUUCAUCCUACUCUGCCGCGCCACACCACACGGCAGCUCCACCACCUGCAGCACACUUCAGGGUACCAUCAAAGCCGUCUCUGCCCCCUUCUUCACCCUGCUCUGCCGCGCCACACCACACGGCAGCUCCACCACCUGCAGCACACUUCAGGGUACCAUCAGAGCCGUCUCUGCCCCCUUCUUCAUCCUGCUCUGCCGCGCCACACCACACGGCAGCUCCACCACCUGCAGCACAGAGGGUCAACUGGAAAGGUUUCCUGCCUGACCAGUUCAGAAGGGUGAUCCAGGAAGCCGAUCAGGUCUGGGUUUCCAAAUGCUUGUAUGAGCCUACAGGCCAACUCAAGCAAAAGAUCCAGGCCUGCUGGUUUCACCCUCCACUGGAGCCCAAACCAUCCCCUCCUGAGCCUGGCUGGUACUUCCGGCAGAGGCUGUUUAUCUGGGCACCGAUGAGGAUGUGGGGGAUCCCCUCAAAGUGCCCCCAGUGUUCCUCAAAGAUGAACAGCUCCGGGAUUUACCGGAAGGUAAGGGAGGUGAUCGACGUGGAUAGCCGCUAUUAUCUUGUGGGAGCGGACUAUCCACGUUGCUGCAGGUGCUCGCAGCCGGUCUGCCCAUGGAGCUGCGACAUGCUCUCGCAGCUGGAUGUGGCACACAGGAGCCUGUUUCCCGCUGUCCUCACAACACAGCUGGCUCUGGAUAGGAAAGUGAUGACCUUCCUGAAGCCGAGGACCAGCGGGAACAGUUCCUCCUACCUCCAGUCUGCCAUAGCGGAAGGUCACAGCGAGGAGUGGGCCCGGCAGACCAUCCGCUACCUGGCUGACUGCGAGCUGCACAAAAAGAUGGCUACAUUUGUCCUCUCUGCAGCCAUAUACCCUCCUCCACCACCCUUCAGGCCCCUUCCACUCGCCCAGUGGUUUGAGACAGUCCACUCCAACGACAUCCUCAGCCACGUGGAGGAGAUGAAGGGUGUGAUCACUUCAACCUAUGGGAGAAUCCUGAAAAUGGACUCCACAAAGAAGGUGAGGGUUUCAACAGUAGAAAAAUAUACAAAAUUGUAUAAUUACAACCAAACAGGAAAUUGGUUUACUUCAUAGUGCUUGUGUUUGUUUUACAGGUCACCAAGAAGCUGGCUGGUGAAAUCGGGGACAGUGCCGCCUGGAUGUCGAACAUCGGCAACGAGUUUGGCCAGGUGUUGAACUCUGUGCUGACGGCGGGUGAAGGUGCAGGGUUAGAGGAGUUGUGCCAGGGCGUCGUCACCCGGUAUAGGAAUGCGGGCCAACCUGAACCUGAGGCCAUCUAUGUUGAUCGGGACUGCUGCAGCCAGUCAGGUGUGUGAAAAUUGCUCUCUCACUCACACACAGACACACAGACACACAGACACACAGACACACACACACACACACACACACACACACACACACACACACACACACACACACACACACACACACACACACACACACACACACUUACUCACUCACUAACACACACACAGACACACUGUUGGUAGCAUUUGUAUUAAAUGUAUUUAUUUAAUACCAAUGCUACUUUGGGGAGAAGUGUCAGGCAAUUGGGAGUAACCACACAAAGGUGUUGUGGUCUAUGGUAUUAAGAAUGGUUGUUUUUCACAGGUGUGUCUGCAGUGGCAAAACUCUUUCGCCCAUGGAGGUCUGCAGUGCGCCUGGAUAGCUUCCAUUUUAUGAGGCGCUUUAACUGCGGCCUCACAACCGAACACCACCCUCUCUAUGGCACCUUUUGUGCCAAGCUUUCCGCCUGCAUUUUUCUCUGGGACCAGGAGGAUGUGCAACGCCUGAAGGAGGCCAAGAGAGCGGAGUGGAAGAGCAGCCACAGCGGACAUACUCCCACUGACGACCAGCUCAUGGCCACCAUCAGCUCAGCUGAAAUGAAGAGGCACUGCAGGAGGAGGACGCGUGGAGUGGAGGAGAUGCGGAGCAGUAUUUCAGGGCUCCUGGAAUCUGUGUGGGAGCUCACAGACACCACAGGGCUGCGUCUGGUGAGCCAUGACAGCAUGCGCCACGUGUGGGAAGUUCAGCAGAAGCACCUGGAGUGCCUCCAAGACCCUGCAGGUGUUGCACUCUACACAAAGGUGGGGACACUCCAGAAGGGCGGCAAGGAGCUGGACAUCCUUAGGUGUGGUAGGGGGUCCUCCUCCCUGGAGAGUUUCCACCGGCACCAGUGUGCUUUCAUUCCAGGUACAUUUGCAUGUGUUGUGAUUAUUCAAAAUAGCACAAUUACCACUGACGGGUAUUCAUAUGUAUUCACUUUACAAUAAGGGUUGACUGGACAGAGUGUUUUGUUUCUUAGGCUGGCGGUGCAAUGCGGUGCACAUGCAAAUGUACAUGCUGGAGGGUAUAUCAAGGUGGAACAUGGGCCGGGCCAAGGAGGCAGUAGAUGUGGAGGGGGCCUCCACCCUAAGAAGCUUCGAUGUUCGGUUGAUGUCCCACCUUAACAACCUAAGCCAGCGUGUGCAUGGUUGUGCUCUGGUGCCAGAGUUCACCCUUCCUGGGAAACCUACUGGUAAGAGAGAUCUCAGAGCAACACUGGUUGCCCGGAGUAUUACAUCCCCUCCUCUUUUUCUUAGGCACCCCCCUACCCAGAGGACAUGCAUUUCUUGAGUGCAAAGAUUGUGCUAUUCAUGUAGGAGAUGGAUGUAUGUACAGUAUGUAUGUCCUUUCUUUAUCUUUGUGUCUAUGCUGGUUACAGGCGAACGCAUAGCCGUGGAAUAUUUAUUGGAGCAGACCAAUAGAGGCGACCUGCUGGCUCCAUCACAGGCCUCCAUCUCAGAAAUCCCCUUGCCGGUGCUGGAGGAGGAGGAGGAGGAGGAGGAGGAGGAUGAUGCCAUCAGCAUGCCUGCCAUCAGCGUGCCUGCCAUCAGCAUGCCUGCCUCUGUCACAGAGGUCAAUAACAUACAAUAAGAUAAAUGAAUGUAAAAUUAGCAUUGCUCACAUAUUAGAAACAAGAGUGUACAUUUAUUUGCUUCUUUUUUCUUUUUCUCUCUUAUCACUUUUCAGACCAGCCAAUGUGAUUCGAGGGGCGUUCCGGGGUGGGACGCAGUAGAUGCCCUUGCUGCCUACCUACUCGGAUUAAACCGCACCAUCACGGCCUUGUCAGCCAAGGAGGAGGCGGACAUAGUUCGCCUGUACGCGGCUUUACAUGCGAUGGAUCGGAAACCUUCAAGGUACAAAAUAGUAAUUAUUAUUAUUAUUACACCAAAAUUAAACAUACAUUCCAUGGAAUGAAUUAAGCAUAUGGAUGUCUCUUUCACCGUUCAGGUACACCCAGAAGGCAAAGAAGAAGUCGCAUGCGUCAGGAGGACCAUGGAGAGCGCCGAGGAAGCCGAGUGGCUCUGCUCCUGGACAGCAGGCGGCAGAGAGGUGCUUGACCACAAUUUGAUAUCAUUUUAUGAAAUGUAUUUAUUAUGUGUAGAUUAUUUUAUUGAAAUCCCUGUUGACAUUGUCACUUGGUUCUUCAUGACUUUAUAUCCUUGUUCACAGUACAUAUCAUAUCAUCCUUCUCUCCCACAGGCUGUACAUGACUCAUGGCCAAGCAGCCCAGGACCCCGAAGUUCACAGGGUCUGUGAGUGUGUCUGCCUCAGACUCUUAAAAGAGUUUGAGCAGUCACGCAACAGGCCAAAGGACACAAAGGGGAAAACAAUGCCCAUCCCUCAGUCCAUCGUAAGCGUGUACAGCCACAUCAAACAGCUGCUUGAGGACAGCAGGGUUGUCUGUGAUGACACAGACCUGGUUCUGGUGCCAGUAAACAACACCACAGUCUCUUCAUGGUAUGUGUUAUUUCAUUUACCUUUCCCAUACAGUCAAGACAGUUUAUAAAGAUUUAACCUCAAGGAAAACCUCCACCUGCAUGCUCGUUAGAAAAUAUGUAAUAACCUUAGGGAGGGAGGAUAGGCUUACAUAAAAUAAUGAAUGUUUGUGUUGUAGGCUGCUUAGGAGGGAUAAAAGGAAGGACAGGGACAUGCUGCUGCAAGGCACUGUACUGCCCAAACAGGUGCACCUGGCAGAGGAGCCUCUCCCUGCUCUGAACACCCUUCCGGCUGCCCCUGUGCAACAUGCACAUGGGGCAAUGACAUUUGAGGAGCCGGAAAAUCACGAGGGGGAAGCUUUCCCCCGCCAGCGCACUCUAGCGGCGAACAAGCCUCCGCCAUCUCCACCUCCCCAGUUCCCUCCACAAUUUGGGCCACUUCCUCCAUUUCCUCAUCUUCCCCCAUAUCCGCACUUUCCAUUUCCAUAUCCUCAUGCACCUCCACUUCCUCAUGCUCCUCCAUUUCACAUUUCUACUCCAUAUCCUCAUGCUCCUCCAUAUGCUCCUCCAUAUCCUCAUGCUCCUCCAUAUGCUCCUCCAUAUCCUCAUGCUCCUCCAUUUCAUGCUCCUCCACUUCCUCAAGCUCCUCCGUUUCCUAAUUCCCUAUCUCCUGAUGCUCCUCCAUCCCAGCCAAGGGCACGCGCCUGGAGGCUCAAUAAAGCUGCCCAGGAGGAUGAGGAGCUUACGUCAAGGGGGGAUCCGGCACGGAAGAGGCUGAGAAAAGAGAACUACCACUAUACCUGCAAGGGGUGCGGCCAGGCCAAAAAUAAAGUCACUGGACACACCCAGCUGAAGGGGCGGUGGUAUUGUCCUGCCUCAGGAAUGACCCUGGAAGAGUGGAGGAAUAGUGUGUAGUUGCUGUCUUUCUGUCUGUUUGUCUCUUUGUUGUUCCUCUCUGUCUCUCUGUCUGUCUCUCUGUUGUUCGUCUCUGUCGUUAAAAUAAAGUUUAAUAAUUGUAUUUGAGCCAAGAACAGCCUUCACGUCUUUAUUUAAUUUCCUCUUGAAUACCAGGACAGUGAGUGUCAUCCAUAAUUGAAUGUGAUUGUUAAAACUAAAGCCAGUCAGAAUCAGAAUAAGCUUUAUUGCCAGGAAGGUUUGCAUCAACCAGGAAUUAUUUGUGGGUAAGUUGGUGCGGAACAUGUAAUUGCACAACAAACAGUCAACAUAAGAUAAAUAAGACAUAUAGUAUAACCAUAUAUAAAAAGAAAGAAUGUGCAGAAAGUGUAUGUGCAAUGUGUAAAGAUAAUUGUGUGUUACUGUAACACAAGGGCUUUUAUGUUAAUUAAGUGUGUAGUGGAGUUAGAGUCCGUGUGUGUAUCUGGGAGGGGGGGGGGGACACGUGACUCGAGAACAAGCGAAGAUGCAAGCGAUAUCGCCAGAGCCCAGGUUCGAAUCCUGCAAAAGACAUGAAAAUUAAAGUGAUGAUACUGUGUGUAAACAAUGUUGAAAAGAUAAGAGAGGUGAUAAAAAAUGAUAUAGUGCACGUUUUCCUCCUUUUUUCUCCUUUUCUUUUUCUCUCUUUCCCCCCUCUUUCCUCUCUCUUUUUUUCUUUUCCCCCGGCCGGGCAGUCCCUUUUGCC